GAUGAAUGCUAGCGGCAGGCCUAACACAUGCAAGUCGAGGGGCAGCACAGAAACAGCAAUGUUUUGGUGGCGACCGGCGGACGGGUGCGUAACGCGUAUGCAACCUACCUUUAACAGGGGGAUAACGGAGAGAAAUUUCCACUAAUACCCCAUAACAUCGAUCAAGGCAUCUUGAUUGGUUGAAAACUCCGGUGGUUAAAGAUGGGCAUGCGUUGUAUUAGGUAGUUGGUGAGGUAAUGGCUCACCAAGCCUACGAUACAUAGGGGGACUGAGAGGUUAGCCCCCCACACCGGUACUGAGACACGGACCAGACUCCUACGGGAGGCAGCAGUGAGGAAUAUUGGUCAAUGGGGGCAACCCUGAACCAGCCAUGCCGCGUGCAGGAAGACGGCUCUAUGAGUUGUAAACUGCUUUUAAACAGGGAUAAAGCACAGUAUGUAUACUGUGUUGAAGGUACUGUAAGAAUAAGGAUCGGCUAACACCGUGCCAGCCGCCGCCGUAA
rnacentral:rRNA from 1 species